rnacentral:rRNA from 1 species
CUGGGGCUCAACCCCAGACCUGCAUCCGAUACGGUCGAGCUAGAGUUUGGUAGGGGAGACUGGAAUUCCUGGUGUAGCGGUGGAAUGCGCAGAUAUCAGGAGGAACACCAAUGGCGAAGGCAGGUCUCUGGGCCAAUACUGACACUGAGGAGCGAAAGCGUGGGGAGCGAACAGGAUUAGAUACCCUGGUAGUCCACGCCGUAAACGGUGGGCGCUAGUUGUGGGAACCUUCCACGGUUUCUGCGACGCAGCUAACGCAUUAAGCGCCCCGCCUGGGGAGUACGAUCGCAAGAUUAAAACUCAAAGGAAUUGACGGGGCCCCGCACAAGCAGCGGAGCAUGCGGCUUAAUUCGACGCAACGCGAAGAACCUUACCAAGGCUUGACAUAUACAGGAAUAUGGCAGAGAUGUCAUAGCGGUAAAACGUCUGUAUACAGGUGGUGCAUGGUUGUCGUCAGCUCGUGUCGUGAGAUGUUGGGUUAAGUCCCGCAACGAGCGCAACCCUCGUUCUGUGUUGCCAGCAUUUAGUUGGGGACUCACAGGAGACUGCCGGGGUUAACUCGGAGGAAGGUGGGGAUGACGUCAAAUCAUCAUGCCCCUUAUGUCUUGGGCUGCACGCAUGCUACAAUGGCUGGUACAAAGGGCUGCAAUACUGCAAAGUGGAGCGAAUCCCAAAAAGCCAGUCUCAGUUCGGAUUGGGGUC